rnacentral:rRNA from 1 species
UACGGAGGGAGCUAGCGUUGUUCGGAAUUACUGGGCGUAAAGCGCACGUAGGCGGCUUUGUAAGUUAGAGGUGAAAGCCCGGGGCUCAACCCCGGAAUUGCCUUUAAGACUGCAUCGCUUGAAUCCAGGAGAGGUGAGUGGAAUUCCCAGUGUAGAGGUGAAAUUCGUAGAUAUUGGGAAGAACACCGUGGUGCGAAGGCGGCUCACUGGCUCGA